AAAUGUUUCAGUCUUUUGCUGAAAUAAUUAUUUUUUAAAAGUGAAAAAAAGAAAAAUACUAUAUUUUUAUCAAUCAGAUCAAUAUUUUGAUAGUUUUUUUAAUAUUCAAAAUGCGACUGUUGCUGGUGUUUUAUUUGUAUUCAUCAUUAACAUCAUACAUAUUCUCGUUCAACAUUACCGAUCUUGCCGAUUGUCGCAUAAGUGAUUUUGGAACACUCAAAGAAAAACUGAUCGAUGAUACUCAUUCUUGUGACUUGAAAUAUUUAUAUCAUAUUUGUAACUGGAGAAAUUUAUCUAGACUUUAUUUCGAGGAACAUUCGUUAACAGCACUUCCACGUCAUUUUCUAUGGAACUGCCAUAAUUUAACCGAUUUAUAUCUAAGCGGUAAUAAAAUAAAAAAAAUUGCAAGAGAUGCAUUUGAUAAGUUGACAUCAUUAGCCUAUUUGGAUUUAUCAAAUAAUCAAAUCAAAAGAUUACAUGAAGAUACUUUUAAGCCAUUGAAAGAAUUAGAGUAUCUACUUUUACAACAAAAUAAUAUUCAAGUGAUCGAUUCCAAUUUAUUUAACCAUAAUACAAAGAUAUUUAGGCUAUAUUUGAAUAAUAACGAUUUAAGAAUCAUUGGAGAUGGGGCAUUUCGGAUGAUUCCAACUUUGGGAAGUCUUGAUAUUUCCAGUAAUCGUCACUUGAAGAGUAUUGAUUUAACCAAUAUUUCGCGUGGAGGUUCAGUUUUAAAGGAUUUAAGCGUGAAUCUAAGUAACUGUACCUUAAAAAAAUUGUUCAUUCCAAUGAAUGUAGUUGAGCUUAGCGUCUGCAGAAAUCACAUAACAUCUAUCAAUGCUCAUCCGAAUAAUCGAUUGAAAGUUCUGAACCUAGAUAAUAAUCAUUUAUCUACCAUCCUCCAUUUAAAAUUGCCAUAUUUGACUCAGUUACUUAUUGGAAGAAGAAAUCGUAUAUCAAUCAGCGAUACUUACGGCUUUAAACAACUAACGUAUUUGAACUUUGAUUUAAAUUCGAAACAAAACAUAAAUAUUACUGAAAUAGGAAAGAAUUUACCAUUGCUUCAAGACGUUUUCAUAACAUCUACAGACAUGAGCACUGAACAACAAACACGAAUUAUCAACGAUUUUAAACAAUACAAUGUUUAUUGUUACGUUGAUACAUGUUUUGAUUACGAAUAAGACGAAAUAAAAUUAUAAAUAUUCAGUAUUUUAGUUAUAGUCACGUAAAUAAUUAUUAUCUAGAAGUAACACUGUUUUUAAUUAUGUUUUUGUAUCAGCUCUUUUACCAACACAUUUAUUUAUUUUCCGUCUUCAAAUAUUGUGAACACCUUUUGAGACACGUUUCGCUUACCUUGCAUUUAUCAAAUUUAUCAUUUAAUCAGUUUGUCACGUUUAAACUAACAUCUCUUUCCAUAUAAGUAGCCAUUAGGUCACUAUUUUAAUAAAUUCAGUUUCUAGUUUCAAAUUGUAAAGAGUCAUUUCAUACCAGCCGUCGAGAUAGAGAUUUUCGUUUUUAUGUUUCUUCUUCUCACAACAUCACAAACAACAGCUCAAGAGCCAAUCUUAGGAAUAUCGCCUCAUCUUAUUGAAGAGAUGUCUCAAUAUCAUGAAAACUACGAUGAAGGUAAAGUCGUUACCCAAAUAUUCGAACAAUUCUUCGGAUGUAACAACGUAUUUCACAUCAGCCAACAUUUUCAACCUCAGCCAGAUGGAGAAGGAACACUUGGUCUGGUUUAUGAUUGCUUCUGUAUGGAAGAAUUUCUGAAAAAUUUGUCAUCUUUGUAUCACUAUUUCGGUUCUGAAAAUGCGCAUAAAGAAGGAAGCACCUUUUCGGAAUCACAUAAAAAAUGUUGGAGAAAAAUGAAACCAAUCAUCCAAUGUCGAUUGUAUGUAUCUGUAGGAGUCGAUAGAUCAAGCCGUUGUAUACAAUACUAUGUAGUUCCAAAUGGUAAACCAACAUGGCAAAAAAUUGACGCCCCAGUAUACAAGCUGCUCUAUUGGAACCAUACGAAAAUAAUAUUGACACCAACAACUAGCUAGUAGUUCUAAUCAUGUGACACAUUUUUCUUGUUUAAUUCCCCUGUGCUUUAUAUUUUUUUAAAUAUUUUUUUUUGUUCAUGAUUUUUUGCGCACAACAUUUAUUCAAAAUCAAAAUGAUUAAAUCAACUUAGCACAAAUUGUCUC